CAACCCUCAUGCCCCUAGGGCGUGGUGUUGGGGAACGGCCAAAGCCCGCGAGGGACGGCCGGCCCCUAAAUCUAGUGGCGGACCCGUCGUGGCCUCCUCUGCGAAGUAGUAAUACUCCGCAUCGGACAGCGACGAGCCCCUGCCGUAAAACCCCCAACUUUCUAA
rnacentral:misc_RNA from 1 species